rnacentral:rRNA from 1 species
AUGCAGAACCAGAUGGAAGAAGAAGACACCGAUGUUGAAAGGGGUCAUGCCGAUGAUUCUGACGAGUCAGAUGAAGAAGAAAAUGCAGAGGAGGUCCCGAAUCCUGCAUGGUGGAAUCAUGACUUAUCAUCUGCAAUGACCGUGAAUGAUGGACAUGAUUCAGCCUGGCAAUAUCACCAGAACAAUAUUGCGACGGGUGCUAUGUAUCCAAACAAGCAAGCCCUGAAGGAUGCAAUAAUUAAUUGGGCAAUGUCCACGCAAAGGGUUUUCAAAGCUGAGGUGUCCAGUCAGAAAUUCCUCACAAUGGUAUGCAAGAAUGCAGAUUGUCCCGCAAGGGUGCACGGCUUUCUCCCUAAGUAUGGCACAAGUUGGGUGAUAAGUGACUUAGUUAAUCACACUUGUCUUAUUCCCUGCAUCCCUCAAGAUCAUGCCAACCUUUCAUCCACGCUUAUUGCUCGACUGUUUUAUGAUGAGAUAGUGCAAGGCAAAGCUAUGGAAUGUCGGGAUUGUGGUUGCUGA